GAUGAACGCUGGCGGCGUGCUUAACACAUGCAAGUCGAACGAUGAAGCCCAGCUUGCUGUGUGCAUUAGUGGCCAACGGGUGAGUAACACACGAGUAACCUGCCCUUAACUCUGGGAUAAGCCUCGGAAACUGGGUCUAAUACCUGAUAGGAGCGUCCACCGCAUGGUGGGUUUUGGAAAGAUUUAUCGGUUUUGGAUGGGCUAGCGGCCUAUCAGCUUGUUGGUGAGGUAAUGGCUAACCAAGGCAACGACGGUUAGCCGGCCUGGAAGGGUGACCGGCCACACGGGGACUAAGAGACGGCCCAGCAGGCUACGGGAGGCAGCAGGGGGGAAUAUUGCGCAAUGGGCGCGAGUCUGAUGCAGAGACGCCGCGUGAGGAAUGACGGCCUUUGGGUUGUAAACCUCUUUCAGUAGGGAAGAAGCGAAAGUGACGGUACCUGCAGAAGAAGCACCGGCUAACUACGUG
rnacentral:rRNA from 1 species